rnacentral:ncRNA from 1 species
CCCUUGAAGACGACGAGGUAGAUAGGGCAGAGGUGGAAGUGCAGUAAUGCAUGGAGCUGACUGUUACUAAUAGGUCGAGGGCAUAACCAG